CUAUCUCUAUCUCUUCCCUUCCCUUCUCCUCUUUCGUUCCCUUACUCGCCGCACCAUCCCCCGUCGCCGUUCGCCUACCAUAGCUACCUCGACAUGGAACCGUCCCUGCCACCACAGCAACCCGAUAUUUUAUACCGUGAAACCUGUCUGUCUCUCCGACCGGCCUCGCUUAAUAAGCAGCUUUCAAAAUAGAAAUGUAAUGGGCCGGUGGGGAAGGGAAUGUCGGGUGAUUGAUUGCUCGCUCAGCGACUUACCGACUUGCCACAGCCCACGGGAUAACGAAUGACAGCCACUUAAGCGCUGUUUGCCUACAAUUUUGUAAAAGCGUUUUAAUUAUCGCCUCGACCGCACCUCGACUUUGUCGCGCAUUAAGUCACCGGAUACUGAACGUUCCGAGCGACUGAUCUCCGCUGACUUCCUUGUUAUUUUAACCUGUUCGCAGGAGAAGACGACCUGUUGGUUGGUUAACCAGUCGUUUACAGCUGCACCGCGUUCUUCGAUCGAUGCCACCCUUCCUCGUUUCAUCGGGACGAACCUAUCCGGAGUCUGGAAUCGAAGAUUACAACGACCAUCUUCGGAUUGUGCAUUUUCGCCGAUGAUCGUCGAAGUGAUUUUGUAUAACGGAGUUUAGAAGGAAAAAUAAUGCCUACUCGGAACACACAAAGCUGUCGGCCAUAAAACACCCAUGUCGGGUCACCCAGCCAACGCGCAGGCGUGCACGACCUGCAUUUUUAUGUUCGCAGCCAGAUCUGCGUACAGAUUUUCUCGAAAACGCCGGAUAAAAACGUGGGACGGAGAAAAAAAAUAUAUACGGGGAGCAUAACAUUACAAUGGCGUUCCGCGGCGGCGGCAUGUAAAUUCUCUGCUGGGCGUCGACAUCUUUAACUCUCUUCUGCCCCUCUCUCUCUCUCUCUUUUUUUUUCCAUGCUGCCUCGAUCAUUACACGAUCUAUCAUUACGUCGCGACACACACACACACACACACACACACACACAUACACACACACACACACACACACACACACAAAUGUUGGUACUCGUAGCUUUUUUUCGCGGCAAAAUCGAUCUAAAAGAUAGCAUGUUUCAGGGGAGAAGCAAUUGUGUUUCGUAGUAACGACAGUCUGUAAGCAUUUUCCAUUCUAGUCUAUUAACCCUUUGCGCUCGAAGCUAUUUGAACCGUAAAUCUAAAAUAAUUCUUCCGAUUUAUAGUAUCUCCGUUUUACAUGACAAAGUGUAUUUUGUGCAUACGAAAUUGAGUCUCGCGUACUUUUAGUUACUUUUAGUUACUGAGUUAAACUUUUAACAACUUUUGAAAUCUAAACUUUGAUAAUAUAAAAAUGAUUUUGGGACGUGAAUUAACAAUUUUAGUGGUGCCUCGGAGUCACCACUCGGGUGCAAAGGGUUAAAAAUUGGAAGAUUCUUGCAACGUAUUUUGGAGCUAUAAAAGCUUCAAUUUAUUCUACGCGUUAUCCGCCAACAGGCGCGUUGCAUUAAAUUCUCGCUCAUUAAAUCUGUGCAAUUAACUCGAAAGUAAAUUAAUUUAGGGAAAAAAUGAGCAUUCGGCGAAACAAUUAAAAAUACUUCUCUUUUUCGUCGACGACAGGUAUACUUGAUUUUGUAUUUUUCCUACGCUGGUAUCGGCGUUGAAAACGUGACGGUAAUAAUUAUUUAAGAAACACGAAUUAGGGAAUACAGAUAUCUAUAAAUGCAUUCCUGUAAUUUAUGUGAGCACAGAUCAUGUACGUAAUUAUUUCGACCACUUAGUAUUUCCUCGGCAAUUUCGUCGAGUGUAGAAUUAAACAAUCGUAAUUGAA